AACCACGGAAAAAAACUUCCAUUUUUCUAGAUAGAGCUUUGAGCCGCAACAUCCGCCUUCCGCUCGUGCAAUGGCUUCCAGCUCCGUGCUUAAGAUGGCCGCCGUUUUCAUGCUGGCCCUAUUCGCCGGCCAGGCGCUGAUGGCUACGCCAGUGAUGGCAGAAGAACUAGGUAACCGGCACAACCUUUUGGAGAAGUAUGAUGAGACACAAUGUCGCGGAUACGCCACAUGCAAUAUUGUAUGCUUCUACCAAGUUUUUCAAGUCUGCAUCAUCUACAGCCCUGUUGCAUUCUGCAACACUUGGGCGUUUGGGUUCUGCAAGGACAAGAGAUAUUGAGGCAUAAAUGGCAGUGCAGCUCCUUUUGGGAUGCAUGCACAACUACACGAGCAACUCACCUCAUCAGUGUCAACUAUUGUUCCUUGGUUAUUGGCGUUGUCCGUUGUAAGAGUCCUAAUAUGUUCCUCCCUUUAUUUCCAGCUAUCAUGUAUCAGCGGCUUAGCCAACUAUUUAAUUACUUCAUUGUCUGUCAUCAUGGUACUUGUUUAACUAAAAAUGCCCCGUCGGAUACAAAUGUAUGUGUCGUGUGAUUAUAAAAUGGUUCCGCCGCUGCAACAUUUUUUGGUCCAUAAUGGCCAUAUAAGCAUGCUCUUUCUACCCUUACCCAUGAAUCUUUUUUCAUGAAUGACCAUUCGUUUGACAGAUUUGGCAUGUGGUUCGACAAAAUGCCAUAAGAAAUAAAGGAUGCAAAAAUAUAAGGGAGCAUGAAGCUGAAUUGGCACUAACCUUGUUAAUAUUUUUCGUAGUUGACAAGACAAAUACUACACAGGCCAUCGCCACACCCAGUUUCGCUAGCUCAUCGCAGAGGAUGCGAUGUUUGACAACAUAUACAUUCUAAACGGACACUCAAGGCCCAUAGGGUGACCAGCGUUGCUUCCGUGUUAAUAUUGGCCCACAGGGUAUGAAAGUUUUUCUUUUGUGAGUCCCUAUCAUGUGGAACCCACGUCAGCUGUCGUGAUUGCAUUGGCUUUCAGCGACCGAAUACAUCGAAUCGGGGUUUUCGAGCGUUCUCUCCUUAUUUACCUUGAGUACCCCAAACCCAUUGAGGUCGCCUGCCGACGCUCUCUAGUAGUCGUCCAGGUGCUUGGGUCAUCCUUCUUCUGGCUAGAGUCGCAUUGGCAUCGAUCCUUUGGACAUUUGUUUCAAUCCCCCAAGAGCGUCUAUCACUGCCCCUACCGCAGAUGCCACCGAAAAGAGUUCUGGCAUUGAGCGAGCAUUUUCUUGGACUAUCCUGAUCAAACAUCUCGCAUGCCUCAUUCUACCUUUGAAAACUGAAAUUUUAACCAGGUACAAUAGAUCCAUGGGAAGUCAUUCCUUUGCCUCAGAAACCCGCAAUUCCCAGAUAGAAAAUCCUAUUUCCCGCUCCUCUAGUUUCUUAAACCAGCGCUGUUUCUUUUUCCAGCAGGGAUACUCCCGAAAAAAGGGCUUCCAUUCGAAGUGGAAAGAAAGAGACGGGUUUGUUCUCCCUCUUUGCCUAUCAGUUAAGUAGAUUGUAGGUCCCCUCCCAGGCCUCGCAACCAAGAGUCACUUGUCGAAAGUUGACCAGGAAGACAAGAACUAUCGAGGCUGGAAUAGAUAGAUGAAACACUAAAAUGUUUCACCUUCUUCUAUGGUCAUUCUUAUUUUCAUGAAGUUGAAAUUGUGCUCGCACAUGUAAGCUUAAUCAGGUUUGUGGACAUCAGAACCCCCAUUGUCCUGUAUCUCUUCAACAUGCAAGCACUUCGUUAGGGCUGUUUUUUUUUUUGGAAGUGGGUUCACUGUUUACGCCUCCAUAGAAUCCGGCUAGCUCAAAGAGUCCCCAGAUGACCUCGAGUUGCUCCUGGCACCUUGCUAGGCACGAUCUAUGGUUUUCUCCUCAUUCCAGUGAUGUCAUAAAUGAUUGGGACCGUUCACCUAGACCCGAAAAUCAUUGAAGGGUAGUGAGGAAGGAGUUGGGCGUUUCCUAACUUCCAUUGCCUACACCAAGGGACGUUCCACUUACAUUGCACCCAUGAUAAUCACUAAAGUCGAAAAAAUAGCUAAAUAAUUUGAAUUUGCGGGCUCGGCUGUGACCAAUUGUUUAGUGUGCUUAUUUGGUGGCCAAAUGACAUCCGAGGAGCUCUUUACAUAUAAACAUAUCAAAUUUUGUCCUCAAAGUUAUGUACGCAUAGCUUGAGCAAAAGUUGUAUUUUGUAUAUAUGAAGCUCAUUUGAUAAUAUUUGUCACCAAACUAUGCAAGCACCUGAAACACUUGUUCAAUAAUGCCCCAAUUUUUUUUUCUAUUUGUUAUGAUUUUACUCUUUAGAGUGGGUAAAUUGCACUUCGGUGUAGCCACAAUUUUUCCUUCCCUUCCCGCAUCUCUGAUGGUAGCAAGCUCGAGGUACCGGUCAGGAGUUUUUAGCUGGAAGGAUGUGGCGAUCGUGACUCCAAGGUCAUAUCUAUCCAGGGGUACUAUUCUGGGGACGAAGCCAUUAGGAGUUGCUUUUGACCGUGAUCCUUUUGACCAGUUAUCGCAAUGCCCAAACUUUGCUACAUUAACAUAUAUGAAUUUGUAUGACAGUGGGAAGUAACAUCGAAUUAUGAAAAUGAUACAGGGAUGCAAAUAACAACCUUACUCCUACUUGUCUAAAAUUAUAUGUAUCAACAGGUAUAGUGUGUGUGAGGGGGGGAGGGGGAUCCUAUAAGCCUUGUACACUAGGUUUCUAGCACAUUUGGUGACCAGUCUUGACCAGAUGUGCAAGUUGAGAUCUAGUCUAGGCCUGAAGCUAGCGCUUCCAUUCAGUCAUCUUGGCCCUCCAAGCAGAAGUUGUCACAUAUUGAUCAGGUGCUAAUGUAUUUAUAAAUGGUUUGGGGUCAGAUGGACGCCUUCCUUUCGUAGACUUCCGUUCGUGAAAAGCUUGAUAAUUCCACUGUCAUGACAUGUCCUCCCUCCUUUAAAGGAGUUCCUGGGGUACCCGUCAUCCUAAUUUCACUUCUAGGAGUGACCCUCCGUGUGAGUUGGUUUGACAUUCGUGAAAGUUUCCUUCAGGCUUACACGGCUUGGCAUGGGCCCGAUCCACCUCUUUCCUACAACAUAUGACCUACCCGUAUACUACACCUUCACCCAUGGUGAGUAAACAACCCCUUGGUUGCCCGCUCCACCAGAUACGUGCUGCCAAAAGCAACUCCUGAUGUUCUGUAGCUGAAGUGAUGACAAGAUCUGAACCCGGUGGAUACUUGAGCAGAUAACUUGGAGAGGAGAAUAUAUCUUCUUUCUUAAAAUUUUGCAUUCGUUAUAUAUUUCUCUCAAAUUUACCUGUCGGCAAACAAAAAGAACAAUGAUAGAUCAAACUAUGUGCUUUUGGUUAGCAGCAUACGCGAAACACAGUUGAAGAACUGUAAGGAUGGUAUGCCAUGAGAUGCUUUCCUAGGUGAGUAAUUUAUGAUCUUGAGAUGCCCUUCACACACUUACCUAAGUUGACAACUAACUCUAUAAUGCCAUUAAGACUUGAACACUAUUGUUUUAUACUAUUUUCGACUUAAUAAUGAAUCUUGGUGCCAUGGUGAUAGUAUAUUUUAGACUCGGAUCAUGGCAUACACAAGGAUCAUCUAUCGAUUAUUAAUUAAGUGCUAAAUUAUGUGGUGGCAAUAUAUGGACCUAGCUGGCUUGAGAUUUGCUACAUGCAGGGGAGUACGACAACAUCAAUUAUAUCAUGCAUGAUGAGAUUGAGCUUACACAAACUUGUAUUAUCAUGCGUCUACUUUUGAAAUAUACAUAAAAAGGAAGUAAAAUUUGUAGGAAAAAUUAUUGGCUGGUCAAAUAAUUUCAUUCUUCUGAAAUGUAUGACCAUAUUAAUAAUGAAGUACUUGAUUAGACUAACGCUUCUAAUGAACCCUCUCAGGUAAACGCCAUGAUGGUGUUGCAUCUACCCUUAUAUGCUUAUGUCUGGAACACAUGCUCUGCUUUUGGAUUUAUCUCUAUAAAAAAUACACUAUUCGAGGAAUCGUCAGAGUUUUCCCCGGGUUUAAAGUUUAUACUGAAAUUUGUAAUUUUGAUAAGCAGUAUAAGGAUCGGUAAAAUGCCAUUCAAGAUAUGUAUUGACGGUAACGCGCAAGGCGCUCUCAUAGGUGUGUAAUUUAUGAUCUUAAGAUGCUCUAUGCGCUCGUGGUUGUUUGGUUAAAUAAAAUUAGCCAUGAGUUUAUGGAAAAUUAGUUGUUAGCUGGUUUUAGUAAAAUCCUUUUUGCUAGCAGUUUUGUGAAUAAUCAGUAUAGAAAAAAUAGUGUUUGGGAUUAGGAAACUGUAAAGAUGGACAUGCAUUUACUUGUUUGGAUAAAAUUCCAUAUUCCUCUCUCUGUGAGUUGUGGAAGGAGGAUGGCAAGAAAAAAGUUUGGGGCGUGAGGAAGUUAGUUAGUAUCCCGUAUUGCUAUCACGUUUAAAAAAAACAAAUAGUAGUUUUUCUACAAAUGUGAAAUCGUGAGUUUACUUGAAAAAAAGUUCUUCAUAUACGCGGGUUAGUUAGAAUAGCGAAGAAAGAUUCUAUUCGGUUAGACAGUUUUUCAAGUUUAUAGGAAUUGCGUUUUGUAUAUACUAUCUAUCCUAGCAACCCUAGCUAAGUUGUGAACUCCAUAACGCCAUCAAUACUUGAACGUACUACAGUUCUGUCUUGUUUGGACUCCCGACUGAAUCAUGGUAGUUGUACAUUUUUUACUCAGUGCAUGUCACACACACCAUGAUUAUCUACUGAUUGUUAAGUGCUAGGUAUGUGUUGGCAAGAUAUCCAACUAGUUGGCUUGAUAUUGGGUACAUGCAGGGGAGUACUCCAAAGUCAACUAUAUAUCAUGAUGGGAUCAAGCAUACAUAAACAGGUAUUAUCAUGCAUGUUCGUAUGAUAGUGCAGUAUCAGCUCUGAGAUCAUGAAUGGCAAACUGGAGGGGCUAAUUUAUGAGUGCGUGUGCUUAUAAAUAGGGUCUCUAGCUAGCUAGUACUCACAUCAACACAAGCACGAGAAAACACUUCCAUUUUUCUAGAUAGAGCUUUGAGCCGCAACAUCCGCCUUCCGCUCUUGCAAUGGCUUCCAGCUCCGUGCUUAAGAUGGCCGCCAUUUUCGUGCUGGCCGUAUUCGCCCGCCAGGCACUGAUGGCUACGCCGGCGAUGGCAGAAGGACUAGGUUACCGACACAACCUUUUGGAGAAGUAUGAUGAGACGCAAUGUCGCGGAUACGCCACAUGCAAUAUUGUAUGCUUCUACCAAGUUUUUCAAGUCUGCAUCAUCUACAGCCCUGUUGCAUUCUGCAACACUUGGGCGUUUGGGUUCUGCAAGGACAAGAGAUACUGAGGCAUAAAUAGCAGUGCAGCUCCUUUUGGGAUGCAUGCACAACUACACGAGCAACUCACCUCAUCAGUGUCAACUAUUAUUGUUCCUUCGUUAUUGGCGCUGUGCGUUGUAAGAGUCCUAAUAUGUUCCUCCCUUUAUUUCCAACUAUCAUGUAUCAGUGGCUUAACCAACUAUUUAAUUCCUAUAUUGUCUGUCAUCAUGGUACUUGUUCAACUAAAAAUCCCCCGUCGAAUACAAAUGUAUGUGUCGUGUGAUUAUAAAAUGGUUCCGCCACUGCAACAUUUUUCAGUC
rnacentral:lncRNA from 1 species